rnacentral:lncRNA from 1 species
CGGACAAUGCCGCGGGCCCGUCCCGGACUACGACUCCCGACGGGCUCUGCGACCGCUCCGGGGCGGCCCAGCGUGCACUGCGCCGGCCAGUUUGACAGCCGGGCGCCCUACUCGGCUAGCUCUGCUCCCAGCCAGGGACGCUGGCCUUCUCGCGGCUUUCCCCCGAUGUCUCUCUUUAUUCCAGCUGCCUGAAACUCGGUCCCACGAAUGGCAGGCAGCGUCCAAAAUUCAACCCCGUAAAGCCAGCACCAGCCAAUAAAGCGCACGGAUGGAGGCCACGUGACAGCAGUGGGCCGGCCCUCCGGCUGAGCCCUGAUCUCUAUGGUUUCCGCGGCUCGCUAGAAGGAGUGCGGUCCACUGGAGGUCUCCCUACAUUCUUCCUCCAUUAUCUCACUGCCUCCGGUGGCUGCUGGGAUACCGGAGGACUCGGGUCCCGGCUCGACUCAGUCCUCCAGCCGCCCGGGGAAUACCUCUAGUUCUUCCCGGCCGCCGCCGCCUCCGCCCCGCCGCUUCCUCCUCCGCCUGCCGGCCUCCUUCGCCCCGCCCCGUCCGCGCAGCUCGUCCGGCCCGCCCGCAGGCCAGCUUCUCUCGGGAGCCUCCACCCAGGCGCAUGGCUCCAUGAAGCAAGAGGAGGAGGCAGAGCGCGAGAGAUCCCGUCCGCCCCAGCCGCGUCUGGGCCAGGAGAAAAGCAAAACCAUAUUCCUGCUGCUGUCAGUUUUGAUGCACUGAGAAAACUUCAGAGACCUAAGCUUUUUCCAGAGAAGAGAAGCUUUACUGGUGUUCCAGCCCUAAGAAACUUAAAUCCUCAGUGUGACACAACUCAGUCCUUCUACUGCAGCAGCUCUUUUAUAAAAGCCUCCCAAAGCUCCAAGAAGGAACAAAGAAUGUGACCCAGUAAGCUCACACCAUAAGUCUAUAUUGCAGAAACCUUUGUUCAACAAAACUGCAGAUGCUCUGUUGAAUCCACUGGAGAUUGUCCUGAUACUAAGGACAAGUAUGCUCAUAUGACAUUAACAGACAAGACACUUUUCAGAAAGACAGGUUGUUCUUUUGGGCCACAUCUAAGAAAUCUUUGUCUAGCCAAAAGCCACAAAUAAUUUCUCAUUUUUUGGCUUCUGGAAGAUGUACAGUUAAAUGUUAUAUUUGGGACUGUUAUCUAAUUUGAUUAAAUUGCACUCUACAAUAUGAUAUUUGAAUUGAUGAAAAAUUAGUAAAUGUUAAUAUUUUUUAAAGUAGCCAAAUCUUGCAAUUUAUAUAUAAUAGAGAAGACUAGAAAAUCCCCCAUAUUUAUUUCCUCUUACUUCGUACUACUAAAAUUUGUAUUUAGGCAUUUGGUUUCUCAGAUAAACAUUACAUUCCCCAGUAUAUGGUUCUAUCUGGCUUGGUGACGACAUGUUGAACAUUAAGAUGUGAGCAGAAGUAAUACAUACACACUCUUUUUAAUGUCUUUAAUUGAAUGGGAUAUUGGCCCAUUUUUUCUUCCAGUUUAUUACACUGAAUAUUGACAUGUUAUUUUCCAAUAUUGAGACAAUCAAUGACAAGACUUUAAGAGUAACAAUGUAAAAAUUAUAGAAGUUGUCUGAGUUUAUCAACAAUCCCCUGGAUUAGAACCCCCUACCAGUUCUAGGUCAUCUAAUAUAUAGACAUUGUGUUCAGUAGAAAUAAAUAUAUAUAUUUUUUAAUAUACUUUAAGUUCUAGGAUACAUGUGCACAACAUGCAGGUUUGUUACAUUGGUAUACACAUGCCAUGUUGGUUUGCUGCACCCAUUAACUCAUCAUUUACAUUAGUUAUUUCUCCUAAUGCUAUCCCUCCCCCUGCCCCCCACCCCCCGACAGGCCCUGGGGUGUGAUGUUCCCCACCCUGUGUCCAAGUGUUCUCAUUGCUCAAUUCCCACCUAUGGGAAUACAUUUUUAAAUCAUUUUUAAAGGUGUUAUUACAUUCUGAUUGAACAUUUUCAGAAAGAAUAAAUAAUUUAAUACAAGAAGUGGGCCACUUCAUGUAACAAAACAAACCACCACUACAGCAACAACAACAAAAAACACUAAUGAAUGUGACUUUAGCUUUGCAACAUCAUGACAGACUAGCAAGUUAAUGACAUUUGUUAUGCCAUAGAAAAUAUUUGUUGAAUUGCCACUCUAAUGACUUUAUAUCAGCCAACUCAUUAUCAACACUAGAAAAGAUGAUUAAAAAAUACUUCAGUACGUUCAUGUGUUGGCUUGUUAACAUUUUUAAGAGUCUAUAAGAGAAAAAUGCAUCCAAUCUCGGCAAAAAUAUUUUUCAAGUAUCUUGUAGGUACGUACAACUAACUACCUUGUGAACAAAAGUCACUAUAUAAUUAUAUAAUUUCUGACACUUAAAAAAGUUUAUUGUGCAAAAGAAGAUAUAUGUUCUAAUACCAAAUCCACAUAUAAAAUAAUUGACUUAUUUAAAUAAUUUAAGAUGCUCUUUUAUAUAUUUAUAUUAAAAACUUUACAGAGAAUAAAAAAGGCAUUAUACAGGCUGCUUAUGGUUUUUGAUGUUUGGAUAUACAAUACAUGUAUCAAAGAUUGUGGAAAUAAAUCAAGCAAUAUAUUCAAU